GAUGAACGCUGGCGGCGUGCCUAAUACAUGCAAGUCGAGCGAACAGACGAGGAUCUUGCUCCUCUUACUUUAGCGGCGCACGGGUGAGUAACACGUGUAUAACCUACCUAUAAUACUGGGAUAACUUCGGGACACCGUAGCUAAUACCGGAUAAUCUAUUGAACCCCAUGGUUCAAUAGUUAAAGUCGGUUUUGCUGUCACUUAUAGAUGUUUCCGCGCCGCAUUAGCUAGUUGGUAAGGUAACGGCUUACCAAGGCAACGAUGCGUAGCCAACCUGAGAGAGUGCUCGCCCACAAUGGAAGUGAGACACGGUCCAGACUCAUACGGGAGGCAGCAGUAGGGAAUCGUCCGCAAUGGGCGGAAGCAUUACGGAGCGGCGCCGCGUGAGUGAUGAAGGUCUUCGGAGCGUAAAACUCUGUUAUUAGGGAAGAACAAAUGUGUAAGUAACUAUGCACGUCUUGACGGUACCGAAUAAGAAAGCCACGGCUAACUACGUG
rnacentral:rRNA from 1 species